GGCGCUCAACCCCGGUGGACUAGUGGUUAGAGCUUCCGCCUCAGAUGCGGGAGAUCAUGAGUUCGAUCCCUGGCUGAGUCA